CUCACGUGCAGCUUUAGUUGCAGCUUUAGUUGCAGGUGGACCGGUAUGUCGGGAUGGAAGCUGUGCUUUGUUCUGCUGCUGUACCUCCAGGUUUGCUUUAACAUUGAAGUGUAUGAAUAUAAAACCAUCGGGAGAGGACCUGACGUCACUCCCAUCUGCACCAAUACAACAGAGCAGGUCAUAACGCUCUUAGUGUGUAAGAUCAGAACUUACAGGACUGGAGGAGAGUGUCGUCUGCUGUAUCGAUACGGAGGAGACUUUGAGCAUGAAUGUGACUCCAGGUUCACACUUAAGAUGGAGAAUCACACCCUGUUUCUCCACCUGACUGGUCUCACACCAGUGGACAGUGGGAACCACACCUGUUGGUGUUCACGUGGUGGUGAGACGGUUACCCUCCAUCUGAAUAUCACUGUGGAAGAUGUUUCAGAGGAAGGAGAGAGAGAGAGCGGCGUGACGUCACACACGUGGGUUCUAAACGCGUUGAUCGCUGCAACAACAGUCAUUUCUAUAACUGCAGUUAUUUUGGGGUUGAUCUACAGGGGACAACGUCACAGAAGACAAACAGAACCUCACACCAGUCCUCAAAACACGGAGCCAGAAGCCAUCGAGCCGUACAGCACCUUCAUGCGGAGGGACAGCGUGCUUUAUUCAACUGUCGGCCCACACAACUGUCCCAACAACAGGAACCAAUCAAACACGUCCCCCACAGAGGACACACGUCCAGAGGCUCUUCUGUAGAGCUCGAGCUCUGCUGCUUCCAUUCCGGGUGAAGUGACACAUUUUGUCCACUAGAUGGCGCACUUCUGCUUUGUGAUGAUUGUAUCCUUCAAGUGUCAUUAAAUUGUACUGUAGUCAUCAUAAAAGACAAUAAAAUAUCUAAAAAAAAUAAACAGCUGAAGCGAAACACGUUGGUCACGUCUCUGAAUCAGUCUCAUAUUCCAUUUGGAAUAACUAACUAACUAACUAAUCAUGUUAUUGGCCUUUUCCCUAUUAAGAUAUUCCUGAUCUAAAAUGUGACCCCUGCUUGGUUCUUUGCGUCAUGAAUAUUCUGCCGAUGCCGAAUACUUUCAGGAACCUAAACCAGAAAUUGGCCGUGAACAACUCAUUGUCGCCAAUUUACAUUUACAUAUUUAACAAAAUAAAUGGUAUGAAUCAUAUGCUUAUGCAACCAUUGCAAGUUAACAUCUGUUUGUUUACACAACUGUUUCUUUCAUUUUCAGUCUGCCAAACUUUUAAUCCCUGUUAUUGUUCAUCUCUCUGGUGUUUUCCUGGGUUCCUCUUAAUUUACAGAGGAAGAAGGUCACACGUAUU